rnacentral:rRNA from 1 species
UUGUUGCCAGCGGUUCGGCCGGGAACUCAAAGGAGACUGCCAGUGAUAAACUGGAGGAAGGUGGGGAUGACGUCAAGUCAUCAUGGCCCUUACGAGUAGGGCUACACACGUGCUACAAUGGCAUAUACAAAGAGAAGCGACCUCGCGAGAGCAAGCGGACCUCAUAAAGUAUGUCGUAGUCCGGAUUGGAGUCUGCAACUCGACUCCAUGAAGUCGGAAUCGCUAGUAAUCGUAGAUCAGAAUGCUACGGU